GUGCUUGCUUCAUCAGCACAUAUACUAAAACUGGAACGAUACAGAGAUUACUAGCAUGGCCCCUGCUCAAGGAUGACACGCACAUCUAUGAAGCGUUUCAUAUCUUU
ensembl:snRNA U6 U6 spliceosomal RNA